rnacentral:rRNA from 1 species
GUCCACGCCGUAAACGUUGGGCGCUAGGUGUGGGGCUCUUUCCACGAGUUCCGUGCCGCAGCUAACGCAUUAAGCGCCCCGCCUGGGGAGUACGGCCGCAAGGCUAAAACUCAAAGGAAUUGAACGGGGGCCCGCACAAGCGGCGGAGCAUGCGGAUUAAUUCGAUGCAACGCGAAGAACCUUACCAAGGCUUGACAUGGGGCGAAAACUGGCAGAGAUGUCAGGUCCGCAAGGGCGCCUCACAGGUGGUGCAUGGUUGUCGU